CCCUUAGAUGUUCUGGGCUGCACGCGUGCUACACUGAUAUUGCCAAUUUGUCAUUCUUAUCCGAAAUGGAUUGGGUAAUCAAGUAAUGAAAUUUCAUGCUUGGAAUCGGUAAUUGCAAUUUUAUCGUGAACGAGGAAUUCCUAGUAAGCACUAGUCAUCAGCUAAUGUUGAUUAUGUCCCUGCCCUUUGUACACACCGCCCGUCGCUACUACUGAUUGGGUGUUCAAGUGAGAUGCUUAGACCCUUGUUGCAUGGUUCAUUAUUGUGCUCCGAAAGGAAAAAGUUUCAAGCUUGAGUGUCUAGAGGAAGUAAAAGUCGUAACA
rnacentral:rRNA from 1 species